GUUUGCCAAGGCAGCAGGGCUCAAAGAGUUUCGGAUAUGUGUCUUCGCCUUUGAGAUUGAAAGGGGGGAACCAGCGCUCACUGUCCAUAGGCUUUAAUAAGGGAUCGUGCGAAGUGGCACCUACGAAGUUUAUCGACAAGGAAAUUGAAUGUAGCCACCUAUUAGUAUGUUGAGCAGCUAUGGCUCGAUGGUUGUCUCUCUCCUUUAUUAUGCUCCUGUUCUUAUUACUUCCUCUCCAAUUAUCGCGCUUUUGGUAUCGAACUUCAUGUCGAGUGGCUGCACUUUUUGUUUCAAACUUCAAGUCGAGUGGCUAUCUUUUUGUGGUCUUAUGAACAGACUGAAAUCAAUUCUACCUUAUAAUCUCAU
rnacentral:rRNA from 1 species